UGGGGAAUAUUGGGCAAUGGGCGAAAGCCUGACCCAGCAACGCCGCGUGAGGGAAGAAGGUCUUCGGAUUGUAAACCUCUGUCCUCAGGGAAGAAAAAAAUGACGGUACCUGAGGAGGAAGCCCCGGCUAACUACGUGCCAGCAGCCGCGGUAAUACGUAGGGGGCAAGCGUUGUCCGGAAUUACUGGGCGUAAAGGGUGCGUAGGCGGCAAUGCAAGUCAGAUGUGAAAUACCAGAGCUUAACUCUGGGGCUGCAUUUGAAACUGUGUUGCUUGAGUGCAGGAGAGGGAAGCGGAAUUCCUAGUGUAGCGGUGAAAUGCAUAGAUAUUAGGAAGAACACCAGUGGCGAAGGCGGCUUUCUGGACUGUAACUGACGCUGAGGCACGAAAGCGUGGGGAGCAAACAGG
rnacentral:rRNA from 2 species